UAUAUAUAUAUAUAUAUAUAUAUAUAUAUAUAUGCUAUUGAGUAUUACUGAAGUAUCAUAUCCUGAAAUUUCUUACUGUACACAUAUAUUGUGUCAUAAAGCGUGUAUAAUUCUUUCUCAUACUUUUGGUCAUUCGUUUCCUGCAUUUUCAUUUAUUUUUUUAUUUUUCAGGGUACGUAUAUCCCAUUUGUACGAAAGAGCAACUUCGUCGGCUAUAACCCCCUUGUUGCUGGAUGGGGAGCGUUAAGAUAUAGCUGUUAAUCUAGAGGCUGGAGUACAAAGAAGUGGCACAAUGAUGUGGGCUGAUGACAUUUAUAAUUAUCAAGGAAUCACCCCUACAUUCGCUCAGAAUUUUAAUGAAACUGUCCCUUGGGAAGGAAGAACUGAUACCUUGAUAUCACGGUUUGUACAUCCUAUAUAUACGACAAAUUUUAGAACAUUAUAUAACGAAGAACCAGAUCGUCGUGGCCAUGUGAUGUGAAUAAAAGGACUUGAAUUUGAUGAUAUUUUUAUAAUGUUAGAUAACAUAACUAAGUAUCUUCACAGUAAGAUAGGAUGACAUGGUUUACAUGAUCUUAAUGUUGUUCACUCGAGUGAUGAUAUUAUAAGGAAAAGUGUAAUAUCACAGGUAGGAUGAUUCAUAAUUUAGAACUACUAACUCAUGUAUGUAUUAAAAAUUAAAGAAAUAUAUUAAAUUUUAUAGGAUAUUUAUGUUUAGUAACCAGUAAUUCAGAGAUUGGUAUUCAUGGUUACUAUAACGAGGCUGUAGAAACGCACCCUUUCUUCUUUGCAAAUGGUCCUGUAUUUAUGUCUAAGCCGAAACUGGAACCUCUGAAUAAUUUAGAUUUAUUCUUGUUAUUUUCUAAAAUACUUAUCUACAGUAUACCAUAAGGAAUGAUACCGUAUCGCACCUAAUCAAGUGCCUUAAGAAACAUCAACAGGAUAUCACAGUAAUCCCUUAUCGACUGAUAUGUAAGUAAAAGUUAUCUGUCAUUGUUAUACACAAUUAUGUGUUAGUGUUAUACACAGUUAUUUAUCAUUUUCUAUUAAUUCAGUUGUAGCCACUACAAUAUCUAUGACACUGGUAGUAAUUAUAAGAACAAUAAUGAUGUUCUAUAAGAGGAAAUGAUGAUUAGGAACAAAAACUUACAGGAGAUAUCAUGCGGUGGAUGGAUAAUAUGUAAAAAAUAUUAAGCAGUAUAUGAAUUUUCAUAUUGCGUAGAGAUAACAAAAUGAAUUUUAAAAAAUGUCGACAUGGUAAUAAGAAAUAGCAUCAUGACAAAGAAUAUAUAAACACAGUUUCAUUUUUUAUAAAUAAAAAUUUGUUGUUCCAGAUUUUGAAAUAUAGUGAAACGUUUAAUUAGUAUCUUAAUAUCUUUAAAUAAUUAUUAUUUUAGAAUCAAUUGUAAUUGUAUCAUACGUACUUUUGAAUUCGUGCAAGAACAUAUGUUAUUUUGAAGUAGUUAUUAUUAGGAAAUUGUUAGACGCGAACAGUAUGCGAAAAGUUAGUAUGUAGUGUAAUAAUUAUCAAUCAAAGCACAAGAAUUAAAUUCUUUAGGAAAAAAUUUCCGGAAUUUCUUAUUUACAUGAUUAUAAAGAAAUCCAUAACAAAAAGGAGCUGCUUUCUAA